AUGGCUCAGGAUGAACGCUGGCGGCGUGCCUAACACAUGCAAGUCGAACGGGGUUACUGGCAGCGGAGAUUCGGUCAAAGCAGCCUUAAUCUAGUGGCGGACGGGUGAGUAACGCGUGGGGAACCUGCCCUGUACUGGGGGAUAACAGUGAGAAAUCACUGCUAAUACCGCAUAAGCGCACAGCAUCGCAUGAUGCAGUGUGAAAAAACUGAGGUGGUACAGGAUGGCUCCGCGUUGGAUUAGCCAGUUGGCGGGGUAACGGCCCACCAAAGCGACGAUCCAUAGCCGGCCUGAGAGGGUGAACGGCCACAUUGGGACUGAGACACGGCCCAGACUCCUACGGGAGGCAGCAGUGGGGAAUAUUGCACAAUGGGGGAAACCCUGAUGCAGCGACGCCGCGUGAAGGAAGAAGUAUCUCGGUAUGUAAACUUCUAUCAGCAGGGAAGAUGAUCGACGGUACCUGACUAAGAAGCCCCGGCUAACUACGUGCCAGCCGCCGC
rnacentral:rRNA from 1 species